GCGGACACACAUGGGGGAAGAAGGCCACCGAAGACAGAGGCAGAGCCUGGAGUGGAGCAGCCCCAGGCCAAGGGUGGCCGGCCCCCCCAGGGCUGGAGAGGUGAGGAAGGCUUCUUCGCGGGAGCCUGCAGAGCGGGGCACGGCCUGACUUCAGACUCCUGGCCUCCAGAGCUGUUAGAGAACAGAUGUGUGCUGUUUUAAGCUGCCUCGUCUGUGGUACUUGGUCACAGCAGCCUGGGAAAAUAAUAGAGGACACUCGCCAUCACCCCAAGAGCACCCUCGUGCGCCUGCCCGGUCGGUCCUCCCACCCCAGCUUGCGUCCACCGCCGUCCUGAUAUUUCCCAUCGGAGAUCGAUUGGCUUAUGCUGCGGCCUCGUAUACACGGAACCGCGCAGCUGUGUUCUUUCGUGUCUGGCGUCUUCCACCCGGCGCGAGGUUUUGGAGAUGCGCGCAGGCUGGUGCGUUAUCAGCGGUCGGCAGGCCUCUAAUGAAAGUCAAUUUGCUCGAGGAGGAAGCACGUUUCGAAGUCGAGGAGAGGAGUGGGCAGUGAGGAUGAGAGAUUUCUCUCCGAAGCUGGGCUCGGAGCCCCCGCCCGGGCCUGACCGCCAGGUGACCCCCCGCAGGUGCCGGCUCGGCUCCGAGCCCCGCGCACGUGGGGGCUGGGCUCCCGCACCCCCUGGCGGCGGUUCCAGACGGUGCAACGACAGGUCCCGCGCGGGGCCCAGCUCGAGGGGAAGAUUGUGGUCAGGCGAGCGUGCAUUUCCCUGGGUUGGGCCCCCCAGCCCCUGAGCCCCAGCACCGGCACCAUUCCCCUGUGUGCGUGUACGGGGAUGACCUAGACUGGGCCGACAUUGAGGGGCUCCUAGGCCAGGGAGAUCACACAGAACUCACUCUGGCAGGGGCGGAAUCGGAUCCUGGAGGCACCGAGUGCAGGGAGCAUGGAGGCAGCGGAGGGUAAUUGGACUUGGGCAUUCAGGGAAAGUUCCUCUGUGCAUUUCUCUGCUGGCGGUGGAAGGGAAAGGUGUUAGAGGCAGAGGGAACAGCACCAGCAAAGGUGUGGAGGCAGGACCGUGCGAUGAAAGACUUUCUAAACCCAACAAAUAACAAGGUAAUGCAUAUCCACGGGGUACAUUUUAGAGCUAGAGAAGGAUGUAGGUCUUCCUCUCACCUCAGGCCCCCAGCCCUCCCCCCACGUAGACCUCCUUUAGCCGUCCCAGUGAACCAGCCUCCUGGUGUGCAUGCCCUUGUGUCGUCCCCUGCCCUUGCAGCUGGGCUGACCAAUAGAAUGUGACGGAAAUGGUGGUGUGCCAGUUUGGGGCUUAAGCCUAAAGAAGGCCACUUGAGGAGGGAGAAAAUACGUAAUGGAGGAACGGAGGCGGGCAGACACGUGCUCCAGCCACUGGGGCCAUCCUCGCUCGCUGAGGAUGAGCCACACAUGGGGGCGAAGAAGUCACCUUGGAUGUUCCAGCCAACUCCAGGAGAAAAGGAAUCGCUCUGUCUUGUUUAUGAAUAUGUCUUUAGGGCGUGAACCAGAGCAGAUGCCAAAAAGUUUGAAUGACUAAGUGAAAGAGAGCACUUUUUGCCUGUUUUCUGGACACUUUUAGUUCUUUCAGUGGCCUGCUCGUGUCCUUUGAGCAUCCCUCGUAUCCACAGCGUUGACCCCUGUAUCCCAAGGCAAGGUACCCAGUGGGGUGCUGGAUCAAGACUCAUUUAAAUCAUGCCUGCAUUCCCAGAUCCGGCCACAUGGUGGCAGCAUAUGCUCAGGCAAAUCUCACCAGCCAGCGCCCCCCCAGGACUCCAAAAUUCCGGAUCCCAGGAUACCGGGGCCUGGCAGCCCUCAGAGAUCGAAUCUUGGCCCCAUUUGGCAGACGGAGAAAGUCAGGCCUCAAAGAAGAGGCGAGGUGGGGGAAAAUCUCAGACAUUGGAAUUGGGAUUUGGCUUUUCAGUCCGACUCUCUUACCGGUUCUCUGUGACCCUGGGGGAAGUCCUAUCCCUCUCUGGGCCUGUUUCCCAUCUGCCUGCGUUGGGUGUUUUUCAUCACUUGCUGCGGUCAGUCAGGCCCUUUGUGGGGCUAAGGGGAGGUGUGAUUCACUUCCAUGUGUCCGGCGGGCCAGCGGAGGGGGGACCGCCGGUCCAGAACCCCGAGAGAAGGGCAGAGCGUCCCCCUCUUUUUACACGUCAAGGCCUGCGGUCUAGGGGGACCCGAGCGCCACAGCCAGGAGGGCAGAGAGCAGAGCAGAACUCCAGCCCCUGCACCCCCCGACCCGAUCCACCAGGGGCGCCUGCACCGCCCACUUCGGACGGCUCCCCAUCAGCCCGAUUUCUCCACCCGCUGGCUGAUUUCGAGGCCCCUCGGCAAAGCGUGCCCCCAAGAGCGGCCGUGGGACGGGCAGCCGCCUGGGUCUCCGCCCGAGGUCGGGCCGAGGGGCGGCCGCGGGGACGGGAGGGUGAACGCG
rnacentral:lncRNA from 1 species